rnacentral:rRNA from 1 species
GACGAACGCUGGCGGCGUGCUUAACACAUGCAAGUCGAACGGAAAGGCCCUGCUUGCAGGGUACUCGAGUGGCGAACGGGUGAGUAACACGUGGGUGAUCUGCCCUGCACUUCGGGAUAAGCUUGUUAAACUGGGUCUAAUACCGGAUAGGAGCCAUCUUUAGUGUGGUGGUUGGAAAGUUUUUUCGGUGUAGGAUGAGCUCGCGGCCUAUCAGCUUGUUGGUGGGGUAAUGGCCUACCAAGGCGGCGACGGGUAGCCGGCCUGAGAGGGUGUACGGCCACAUUGGGACUGAGAUACGGCCCAGACUCCUACGGGAGGCAGCAGUGGGGAAUAUUGCACAAUGGGCGCAAGCCUGAUGCAGCGACGCCGCGUGGGGGAUGAAGGCCUUCGGGUUGUAAACUCCUUUCGCUAGGGACGAAGCUUUUUGUGACGGUACCUAGAUAAGAAGCACCGGCUAACUACGUG